AAGACUAUAGACCUGCGGAGUACCUGCGGAAGGAUCAUUACCGAGUUAUACAACUCCCAAACCCACUGUGAACCUUACCUCAGUUGCCUCGGCGGGAACGCCCCGGCCGCCUGCCCCCGCGCCGGCGCCGGACCCAGGCGCCCGCCGCAGGGACCCCAAACUCUCUUGCAUUACGCCCAGCGGGCGGAAUUUCUUCUCUGAGUUGCACAAGCAAAAACAAAUGAAUCAAAACUUUUAGCA
rnacentral:misc_RNA from 1 species